CCCCGGCUUGAGACGGAGCUCAGCAGACUUGUUAAAGAAUUUCUUUCCUCAUUUUAAAAUUACUUGUAGUUAGCUAGUUUCUUCUCUGUUACUCACCUU